UGUGCCUUUGCGUGACAGAGGAAGCAAGCAACAGAUUACUAUUCUGUCUACGAAGACUUCACAGAGGGAAGUGGUUUGUGCUGAGAGGAUGGAGUGUGAAAGAUCAGCAUCUUCAGCGGAUAAUGCUUGUGUGUUUGUGGGCGGACGGAUGCCAAUAUAUACGUGUCAGCGUUCAAACCAGUGAUGUGUUUCAGUGAAGACCCAGGGGAGCAGCCCCAUACAGGAAGUGAGUUUUGGGACCAGAGGAGGUCAAACAGAGGUCGUGGGGUGACUGAUAGAUGUCACCCGACAGACUACAGAUGUCUCCACCCCGGCCCUCAACUGCCUCUAAACCACAGGCUAUACACUGUAGACCUCUUUCCUCUUUCCUUUCUUGAGAGACACUGACAUGUGUACAGAAAAUGAAUACGAAACCAAACAAAUGCUUGAGUGAGGAUCCUUUUUGCGCGCUACAUUUUAAGCGGUUGUGCAGUUGUUGUUUUGCUCUGUUUCCAUUGUAUCAGGGUUCAAAAAAACAGCUUGUCAUAGACAAGCUGUUGUCUAUGACCUAUAAAACUCAGCCAUGUUGUACUUGUAGUGAGGUAUUCUGAGAGUUGAUUCUCAGUUCUUAAUAAAAGACGGGAAGGGUUUGUUUCAAUGUUAACCAUCAAGGUAAAAAGCUGUCAAAUGCACAUACAUAUCAACUUGUUCUUGUUUUAUGUGGCAGACUUCGUGCAGUUUCAUUACAUAUGGUCAACCAUUGUCAACAAUCAUUAAACACAUUAGCUUUUA